CCUACGGGAGGCAGCAGUGGGGAAUAUUGGACAAUGGGCGAAAGCCUGAUCCAGCAAUGCCGCGUGAGUGAUGAAGGCCUUCGGGUCGUAAAGCUCUUUUACCAGGGAUGAUAAUGACAGUACCUGGAGAAUAAGCUCCGGCUAACUCCGUGCCAGCAGCCGCGGUAAUACGGAGGGAGCUAGCGUUGUUCGGAAUUACUGGGCGUAAAGAGUACGUAGGCGGUUAUUCAAGUCAGAGGUGAAAGCCCGGGGCUCAACCCCGGAACUGCCUUUGAAACUAGAUAACUAGAGUCUUGGAGAGGUUAGUGGAAUUCCGAGUGUAGAGGUGAAAUUCGUAGAUAUUCGGAAGAACACCAGUGGCGAAGGCGACUAACUGGACAAGUACUGACGCUGAGGUACGAAAGCGUGGGGAGCAAACAGGAUUAGAUACCCUGGUAGUCCACGCCGUAAACGAUGAUAACUAGUUGUUCGGUCACUUGGUGACUGAGUGACGCAGCUAACGCAUUAAGUUAUCCGCCUGGGGNGGUACGGUCGCAGAUAAACUACAAUAGAUUAGACGG
rnacentral:rRNA from 1 species